AUACCUUUUUCGGCCUUUUGGCUAAGAUCAAGUGUAGUAUCUGUUCUUAUCAGUUUAAUAUUUGAUAUGUGGGCCAUCGGCUCACACGAUAUUAACUCUUUUAAGAAAAAAUUUCAU
rnacentral:snRNA from 1 species